CGUUUUUUAUAAACUAAUAUCUCAGAAUACACCCUGUAAAAACAUAUGUUGCACAAAGAUUUGAAGUUUAACAGCAUGUAAUGUGUGCUUUUUGUAAUUCCUGACCUGAAAAACUUGAAUUUUGAAAACUUCCUGUGGACUAAAAAAACUUUUACUGUGAAUUUAAAGAACUUAAAAGGACUUACCUUCUACUCUACUGACACUAGAAACAACAACGUUUUAAUGUCAGUCUUUUUAUUGUACUGUGACAAUAUUUUACUCAUAAAAGUGAAUGUUGAGCAAAUAAAACAACUAUUUAUUUAUUUAAAUAAUGAACUAAAAACAUCAGAAACUUAUUGAAGAACAGUCAAAAGAACAACUCAUACCUAAAUUUUAUUUGUAUUGCUUGUCUUUUCUGUUAAUGUAUGAAUGCUUAUGUACACAUACAUUAGAAUAAAAGUACAGAAGUAUCUGUUGCUAAAUGUACUAAACGUAUCAAAAGUAAAAGUACUCAUUAUACAAAAUGGUUUUCUAAUAUUUAUUUUUCAGUAAUAGAUCCAAUACUCCAAAACUUGAAUAUUAGUACUGAUUCAUUGCAGCAUUUUAAUAUAGUGAAUGCAGAGCUAAUUUUAAAGAUUUAUACUGUUGCAUAGUCUCAAUUAAUGUUUUACAUUUAAAAUAUUGACCUGAAAAGCAGCUACAGCUGUGACAUAAAUUUAGUGGAGUAAAAAUACAAUAACACAAUACAAUAAAAAGUGUUUGUUACAAAAUUGAAAGCUUUAAAAGUAAAAGUAUUCAUUCUUGAGAAUGACUCCACUCAGUGUUUCACUAUAUAUCUUUUAUAGUAUUGGGAGGGGAUUGGGGCUGGUGUGCCAGCUGUUGACAAUCCUCACAGUUUGAGGGAAGAGGCUGUUGAAGAGACUGGUAUAGGAGGCCCUGAUGCUCUGGUGCCUCCUACUGGAUGGUAGCAGGAUGAGGAGGCUGUGGCAAGGGUGGGUGGGGUCCUUCAUGAUGCUGAGGGCCUUGUGGGUGCACCGUGUUUCAUAGGUAUGUUGUGUGAAGGGGAGAGAAGUACAGCAUUUGAGAAGGAAGCUACAAAAAACGUUAGUGCCCAUGCUUGACUGAACUUGUGGAGGAUGUCCAGGCUCUGCUGUAAGGCCUCUUUGGAGGGAGACAAGAGAACCAGGAUAAAGUCCCUGCAUGUUUUGAAGGCAGACAGCACAAGCCUCAAA